GUAGCACUCAUAUUUCGCGCCGCCCGUUUUGCAAUGACGACGUGGCUAGAGUGAAGUGCAAUAAUGACUCGCCCUGGCGUUGCAGACCACAGAUUGAAAAUGGUUCGCGUUUAUAGGGGUGUUACAAUU
rnacentral:misc_RNA from 1 species